rnacentral:rRNA from 1 species
GUGGGGAAUUUUGCGCAAUGGGCGAAAGCCUGACGCAGUAACGCCGCGUGGAGGAUGAAGGCCUUAGGGUUGUAAACUCCUGACAGGGGGAAAGAUGUUCUUGGGGUAAAUACCCCCAAGGGCAGGACGGUACCCCCAAAGGAAGCCCCGGCUAAUUCCGUGCCAGCAGCCGCGGUAAUACGGAAGGGGCAAGCGUUGUUCGGAAUCAUUGGGCGUAAAGGGCGCGUAGGCGGUUUCAUAUGUCCGCUGUGAAAAAACACGGCUCAACCGUGUUCUGUCGGUGGAAACUGUGAGACUUGAGGCUGGGAGGGGCCGGUGGAAUUCCCCAUGUAGCGGUGAAAUGCGUAGAGAUGGGGGAGAACACUCGUGGCGAAGGCGGCCGGCUGGACCAGUUCUGACGCUGAGGCGCGAAAGCGUGGGGAGCAAACAGG